rnacentral:lncRNA from 1 species
UUUUAUUCUUGUUUGUAGAGAUGCAAAAUGUUAUUCUCAACGAGCUUGCAGAAAUAUAAGUUCUUUUAAAAGAAGUUAUAGAAAUUAAGUUUCAGGCUACUGGGUUGAAGUUGCUAGAAUCAGUGGACGAAGUGGUUACACUGGAUAAUAAACUAAAAGAUAAAACAGAGUAUACUAAUUUGCUUGAUGGUUUGAAAAAGAUUGGUGGCGGAAAGCCAAGAGAACAUGUUUUUUUGAUCAUGAAAAGGUUAUUUUCGAAUCAGUUACAGUCCAAAUUAAAUCGAAAAGGAAAUGGGGAAAAGAUAAACUUAGAAAAUCUAGUAAAUAUACGAAGUGUUUUACG